GAGGGGUUUUGGGAGAACGGGGUGGGAUUAUGGACAUUGGGGAGGGUAUGUGCUUGGGUGAGUGCUGUGAAGUGUGUAAACCUGGUGAUUCACAGACCUGUACCCCUGGGGAUAAAAAUAUAUGUUUAUAAAAAAUAAAAAAUUAAAAAAAAUAAUAAAAUUAAUAUGCUCAAAAAAAAAAAAGAAAAACCAACGAAUCCUUAUGUCAGGCUCCUUAAUUGUCACACAUUUCUCUCUCCACUAGAAACACUCUUCUAUGAGGAAGGAGGCCCGGGGAAGGACUGUGAGCCUAGUGACUACUAUACUGAGGGUGUGGCCAACCCUCUGCCCACUCGUGCUGAUGACCAGACUACUGGGGGAGACGAGUGAGCAAGGCCCCCAGCAAGCCACGUGUGUCCGUGACAACCACAGCUGACGGGGAUUGGCUUCUGAAGAACAGAGCGUAGAUGGGAAAGAACAGCACAUUCCCGGGGGAAAGCUGGUAGACCCCGCUGAUCACGUGACCAGGUGACAUCACGCGUGUGAAGCCCCGGGACCCUCCUGUACCUGACAUGGUGAUGGGAAGGCAUGUCACCUCUCUGUUGUUCUUCCCUCAAACCUAUAGCCUCGUCUGAUCACAAGAAGACAUUAGAAACACAGACACCUGACCGCUCCUCCUCAAAAGUGGUCAAGUCAUGAAAACCAGGGAAAGUCUGAGAAACUGUCAUACACUUGGAGAUGUGCUGAUUCAGCACACUGGGGGAUCCUGGGUGGGGACCUGAAGCAGAAAGAGGACAUUUCUGUGACACCUGGUGACCACCGGAUAAAGUCUCCUUUUGAGGGGCGCCUGGGUGGCUCAGUGGGUUAAAGCCUCUGCCUUCAGCUCAGGUCAUGAUCCCAGGGUCCUGGGAUGGAGCCCCGCAUCGAGCUCUCUGCUCGGCAGGGAGCCUGCUUCCUCCUCUCUCUGCCUGCUUCUCUGCAUAUUUGUGAUCUCUGUCUGUCAAAUAAAUAAAUAAAAUCUUAAAAAAAAAA